rnacentral:rRNA from 1 species
UACGGGGGGAGCAAGCGUCGUUCGGAUUUACUGGGCGUAAAGGGUGCGUAGGCGGUCAGCACAAGUCAGUUGUGAAAUCUCCGAGCUUAACUCGGAAAGGUCAACUGAUACUGUUGAGCUGGAGUGUGGAAGGGGCUACUGGAAUUCCCGGUGUAGCAGUGAAAUGCGUAGAUAUCGGGAGGAACACCAGUGGCGAAGGCGAGUCCCUGGACAAUUCCUGACGCUGAGGCACGAAAGCUAGGGGAGCAAACAGG